UAUGGCAUGGUUCUAAACUCUUG
rnacentral:piRNA from 1 species